GAACUUAUGCCUUAUAAUGUAUACAACAAAUUUGUUUACUUUGGGAUUUCUUCUUUCAAAAUUUAAUAUUAGGAGCAAUUUUUUAUAACUUGGAAAUGGUGAAGAGCAUCAGCACGAAUUUGAGUUUCAAAAAUUGAAUUCAACCCCAAAAUAGGGCAUUAGAUGAUGGCUUUCGUUUUCCGUCGAUAAUUUGAUGCCUUUGACUUGUUAAAAUUUCUCAUAAAAAUCUAUGUUUUCCUACUUUUAAUCCAAAAUUACUCUUUCUUGAUGCCCAUUUUUUUCUCGAUCGUUCACCUAUGAUCACCAAAAUCAAGCAACCCUUUAAGCCCAAGAUCCCAAUAAUAUCAAUAUCGACUUCAGUCCCACAGUUUUCUGGCUCAGUUUUGAGUUUCUCCUCAAAGUCAAAAUCAAGAUUUGACAAUAAUUGUAGGCUGUUGUGGGUGGAUGAGAAUGGGAAAAUGGAAUUACUGAGAAAAUUGAACAGAGGGUGUUUCAGGAAUAGUCUCAACAAGGGUCAGAAGGUUAAAAUUGAGUCAGUCAAUGAUGGUGAAGAUGUGUUUGAUGCAGCUUCUGCUAGGGCAAAGUUGCAGCCUGAGCAUCUUGUUAUCAUGGUCAAUGGGCUUGUUGGGAGUUCUGCAGAUUGGAGAUACGCCGCCGAGCAAUUUGUCAAAAGGCUCCCUGAUAAAAUUGUUGUUCACUGUAGUGAGUGCAAUUCUUCAAUGUUGACCUUUGAUGGCGUUGACAGGAUGGGUGAGAGACUUGCAAAAGAGGUGGAGGAUGUGAUCAGACGGUGGCCUGGGGUGCACAAGAUCUCUUUUGUUGCUCACUCCUUGGGUGGCCUUGUAGCAAGAUAUGCUAUUGGGAGGCUGUAUGAACCUCCAACGAAAACAGAAGUAGCUGGUCUUAAUAGCUCCUGCUUAGUCAGGGAAGAGAAUGUGUCUGACCAGUGUCACAAGCAUUCUGAAGAAACUGUUGCUGGGUUGGAACCUGUGAACUUCAUAACAGUUGCAACUCCGCAUUUGGGCUCAAGAGGGCAUAAACAGCUGCCACUUCUCUGUGGUCUUCCUUUGCUGGAGAAAGGGGCAUCACAAACUGCUCACUGGAUUGUCGGGAGAUCUGGAAAGCACCUAUUCCUCACUGAUAAAGAUAAUGGGAAGCCUCCCCUGCUCCUUAGGAUGGUCAAUGAUUCAGAUGAUCUCAAGUUCAUGUCAGGAUUACGCUCAUUUAAGCGUCGUGUGGCAUAUGCAAACGCAAACUAUGACCAUGUUGUCGGAUGGAGAACAUCGUCAAUCCGUCGUCAGGAUGAACUCCCAAAGUCUAACCUUCAAAUAAAGGAUCAGAAAUACCCACAUAUCGUAAACAUUGAGCAAGAAACCGCUCUGGAUUUUAAUCAUAAAGUAUCUUCACUGGAAAGGAAGAAAAUGGCUGAUUUAGAAGAGGAGAUGAUUGAAGGCCUUACACAAGUACCAUGGGAAAGAAUUGAUGUUAGCUUUCAUGAAAGCAGACAACGAUAUGUUGCACACAAUACUAUUCAGGUGAAGACUUAUUGGCUAAAUUCAGAUGGCGCAGAUGUGAUUGAACAUAUGAUAGAUAACUUCCUUCUCUAAUUGUCUUAGAGGAUUGGCUGUCUUGGUGAGAUCUCCUUUUGAUUAUCAGUAACAAUUAUGGAACUCCAUUUGCAAAAGUCUUAGUCACAAGCAUGGCCACGAAUUGGAGCAUCAUCGCUAAAAUUGUUGUCUUGUGGAGUAGAAAGUUCGAUUCCAGAAGAUAUCAUCGGAAUUGGGAUUCAUUCCCUAGAAGAUACUGCCGGAGAUGGGAGAAUGUAGCAUUGAACCUAGAGGUCUCUCCUCGUUAAUGGACCAGCAUAAAGAUAUGGGGACAACAGUACGUAUAGACUCAGCAUGAUCCACACCCAUUUUUUAGCAUUUAGGAGCCACUAACAGGAAAGGACAAAGCCUCAUACCUACGAGAGAAAGAGGUGAGACAUAUAGUGCCAAUGUCAUUUUUAAUGACUUACACAUACAAAAAAUAGAGGAAAUGGCCUAAUUCCUGGUAGUGGUUCCUAAAUGCUAAAAAAUAGGUGUGGAUCAUGCUGAAUCUGUACAUACUGUUCCCCUCAUAUCUUUACGGAGGAUCCUGUAAAGGUUUUAGAAAAAAAAGGUCCAAAAAUCGUAUCACCAUAAAAUUCGUUGAUAGUUAACAAAUGAAAAAUUGAAAAAAUUACCUAAAUUUUUGUUGAAUGGCCCUUAAAUGCUAAAAAUAGUGUGAAUCAUGGUGAGAUUAUACAUAUUGUCCCCAAGGUCA